AGGCACGUAGCUCAGUUGGUUAGAGCACCACCUUGACAUGGUGGGGGUCGGUGGUUCGAGUCCACUCGUGCCUA
rnacentral:tRNA from 1 species